rnacentral:antisense_RNA from 1 species
CACCGUGUAAGAAGUGCCUUUCGCCUCCCGCCAUGAUUCCGAGGCCUGCCCAGCCAUGUGGAACUGUUGUCGCUGCCCUCAGCCUCCAGAUGCAGCCCGCUGCCACCUUCAGGACCCCUGGCUCUCCCUUUGACUCAGUAGCAAAAGGGUUUAUGUGCUCGGAGGGAGUCCUUCAGGAAUCUGUGCAUAGAAUGCCAUAGUGCAGAGGAAAGUCUUCUUUCUGAAACCAGCCCAACUUUUCUCCCAGAGAGUAUCAUGGAACUGAACUUUCAAGAUCAUGGCAUCUGGACAUGGAGACAACAGAACCCUCAUCUGGCCACCUGCUGCUUGUUGACCAAUUCCCAUAUAAACCACUAACUUCAGUCAGUUGGAGAGACGGAUUUGAGAUUUGCCUUCUGUCUCUCAGCUGAUGUCACCAGCAAUAAAGCCUUCUUCCCUGGC